rnacentral:rRNA from 1 species
AGCGGCGAACGGAUGAGUAACACGUAGGUAAUCUGCCCAUCAGACGGGGACAACGAUUGGAAACGAUCGCUAAUACCGGAUAGGACGAAAGUUUAAAGAUGCUCCUGGCAUCACUGAUGGAUGAGCCUGCGGCGCAUUAGCUAGUUGGUGGGGUAAAGGCCUACCAAGGCGACGAUGCGUAGCCGACCUGAGAGGGUGAACGGCCACACUGGGACUGAGACACGGCCCAGACUCCUACGGGAGGCAGCAGUAGGGAAUCUUCGGCAAUGGGCGAAAGCCUGACCGAGCAACGCCGCGUGAAUGAAGAAGGCCUUCGGGUUGUAAAAUUCUGUUAUAAGGGAAGAAAGGUGAUAGGAGGAAAUGACUAUCAAUUGACGGUACCUUAUGAGAAAGCCACGGCUAACUACGUGCCAGCAGCCGCGGUAAUACGUAGGUGGCAAGCGUUAUCCGGAAUUAUUGGGCGUAAAGAGCGCGCAGGUGGUUAAUUAAGUCUGAUGUGAAAGCCCACGGCUUAACCGUGGAGGGUCAUUGGAAACUGGUUGACUUGAGUGCAGAAGAGGGAAGUGGAAUUCCAUGUGUAGCGGUGAAAUGCGUAGAGAUAUGGAGGAACACCAGUGGCGAAGGCGGCUUCCUGGUCUGCAACUGACACUGAGGCGCGAAAGCGUGGGGAGCAACAGGAUUAGAUACCCUGGUA